AACGAACGCUGGCGGCAUGCCUAACACAUGCAAGUCGAACGAGACCUUCGGGUCUAGUGGCGCACGGGUGCGUAACGCGUGGUAACCUGCCCUUAGGUUCGGUAUAACUCCCCGAAAGGGGUGCUAAUACCGGAUAAUGUCUUCGGACCAAAGAUUUUUCGCCGUUGGAUGGGCCCGCGUUGGAUUAGCUAGUUGGUAGGGUAAAAGCCUACCAAGGCGACGAUCCAUAGCUGGUCGGAGAGGAUGAUCAGCCACACUGGGACUGAGACACGGCCCAGACUCCUACGGGAGGCAGCAGUGGGGAAUAUUGGACAAGGAGCGAAAGCCUGAUCCAGCAAUGCCGCGUGAGUGAUGAAGGCCUUAGGGUUGUAAAGCUCUUUUACCCGGGAUGAUAAUGACAGUACCGGGAGAAUAAGCUCCGGCUAACUACGUG
rnacentral:rRNA from 1 species